rnacentral:rRNA from 1 species
AGCAGCCGCGGUAAUUCCAGCUCCAAUAGCGUAUAUUAAAGUUGUUGCAGUUAAAAAGCUCGUAGUUGAAUUUCGGGGUCAGUAGGUCGGUCGUGCCUACGGUAUGCACUGGUCUCGCUGAUUCCUCCUUCUUGAAGAACCGUAAUGUCAUUAACUUGGUGUUGCGGGGAAACAGGACUGUUACUUUGAAAAAAUUAGAGUGUUUAAAGCAGGCAAACGCCUGAAUACAUUAGCAUGGAAUAAUGAAAUAGGACGUUCGAUCCUAUUUUGUUGGUUUCUAGGAUUGACGUAACGAUUAAUAGGGAUAGUUGGGGGCAUUAGUAUUCAAUUGUCAGAGGUGAAAUUCUUGGAUUUAUUGAAGACUAACUACUGCGAAAGCAUUUGCCAAGGAUGUUUUCAUUAAUCAAGAACGAAAGUUAGGGAUCGAAAGACGAUCGAGAUACCGUCGUAGUCUUAACCAUAAACUAUCGACCGACGUAGGGAGUCGGAGUGAUUGUUUUAAUUUUUAUGUACUCUAGUU